UCCUUGUCCCUUUUCAUAUGA
rnacentral:piRNA from 1 species